rnacentral:rRNA from 1 species
CAAUAGCGUAUAUUAAAGUUGUUGCGGUAAAAAAGCUCGUAGUUGGAUUUCUGUUGAGAGCGACCGGUCCAUACCAUGUAUGCGUAUCUGGCUUGCUCUCGGCAUCCUCUCGAUAGACGUUACUGCGCUUGAUUGCGUGGUGCGGAUCUCGGGACUUUUACUUUGAGGAAAUUAGAGUGUUCACGGCAGGCUUUCGCCAGAAUACAUUAGCAUGGAAUAAUACUAUAGGAUCUUGGUUCUAUUUUGUUGGUUUCUAGGAUUGAGAUAAUGAUUAAUAGGGACAAUUGGGGGCAUUCGUAUCAACACGUCAGAGGUGGAAUUCUUGGAUUGUGUUGCGACGAACUACUGCGAAAGCAUUUGCCAAGGAUGUUUUCAUUGA